AGGAAUGGAUCAACUGUAAAUCCAGGUUGGAAGAUACUUGGAAUUAGGAAUGGAUCAACUGUAAAUCCAGGUUGGGAGAUACUUGGAAUUAGGAACGGAUAAACUGUAAUCCAGGAAUCCUACAACCAGGAUUUCUGGAAACCUGGGAUUGUUGGGAAAGUUACCAGAAUUUUGCAACCCUACUUAUGCAUCUUAUAUCAUAGCUGUAGUCUUACCGACGGACCACUCUACAGGCAGAGUUUAGUGUUAUAAUUGUAUCAUCUUUCAAAUAGAUCAAUGUAGAUUUCAUCCAAGCAUUUAGAUUUCCUCCCUUUUCCAUAUAAAUGUAAUUCUGCCAAAAAUGUCUGUCACAGACUGGACCAUAUUGCAUUUUCUGGACCAUAUUCCUCCAAUACAAACUGCCAGACCACAUUGUCUAUUGCAAAGUGUUUUAGUCUUUAUUACAGCUUUUUAAAUGUACAAAACUUAGAUUUUAAGAAUGACAGCUAUUAUCUUAGAGAUGGGGCCUUGUAUCAGUUCAGGGUUGGUCACCAGUAGUGCUGUUGUUGGAUGCAUGAUGACACCUUCCGCUACAUUGGAGUCCAGUUUGCUGUGUGUUUAUAUUAAAGUGGAUAAAUGAUGCUUCUAACUUCCAGAAUCUUCCUUCCGUCAUUCCAGUAAAUGUGUAGCAAUAAAACAGUGUGUGUUCUUCUGAAACGGAAUCUCCCCUGCCCUAUCCUGCUUGCAGUAGCAGUGUUGCCGACUGUUUUUCAGUGAGAAUCACUAUUGGCUCCUUGAUUUGUUGCUAGAAGUCCUUAGAUUACGUUUUGCCGUGAGGUCAGCUGGCUCAGUAGCUCAGCUCUGAUUGAAUAAUGCUGUUAGAGCAUCCUGAUUGGAUAGCUGUUUAUUGUAAGAGCAUCCUGAUUGGAUAGAUGUUUAUUCAUUGUAAGAGAAUCCUGAUUGGAUAGCUGUUUAUUGUAAGAGCAUCCUGAUUGGAUAUAUGUUUAUUCAUUGUAAGAGAAUCCUGAUUGGAUAGCUGUUUAUUGUAAGAGCAUCCCGAUUGGAUCGUGCUGUUAAUGAGCAUCCUGAUUGGAUAGUGCUCUUAUAAGAGCAUCCCAAUUGGAUAGUGCUCUUUAAGAGCAUCCUGAUUGGACCGUGAUGUUAACUGCAAGAGCAUCCUAAUUGGAUAGUGCUGUUAUCUGCAAGAGCAUCCUGAUUGGAUAGUGCUGUUAACUUGUAAGAGCAUCCUGAUUGGAUAGUGCUGUUAACUUGUAAGAGCAUCCUGAUUG
ensembl:lncRNA